rnacentral:piRNA from 1 species
UCAAACCCAUUGUGUGCUGUC